rnacentral:rRNA from 1 species
CCUACGGGCGGCAGCAGUGAGGAAUAUUGGUCAAUGGACGAGAGUCUGAACCAGCCAAGUAGCGUGAAGGAUGACUGCCCUAUGGGUUGUAAACUUCUUUUAUAUGGGAAUAAAAUGUUCCACGUGUGGGAUUUUGUAUGUACCAUAUGAAUAAGGAUCGGCUAACUCCGUGCCAGCAGCCGCGGUAAUACGGAGGAUCCGAGCGUUAUCCGGAUUUAUUGGGUUUAAAGGGAGCGUAGGUGGAUUGUUAAGUCAGUUGUGAAAGUUUGCGGCUCAACCGUAAAAUUGCAGUUGAAACUGGCAGUCGUGAGUACAGUAGAGGUGGGCGGAAUUCGGGGUGUAGCGGUGAAAUGCUUAGAUAUCACGAAGAACUCCGAUUGCGAAGGCAGCUCACUGGACUGCAACUGACACUGAGGCUCGAAAGUGUGGGUAUCAAACAGGAUUAGAUACCCCUGUAGUC